AGCUCUAAAUUGGCUCAGAUCAAGCAUAGUUUGUGUUUCUUAUCAGUUUAAUAGCUGAUAGGUCCUCUAUGUGGGCACCAAGUAUUAAACUGAUUUUUGGAACAGGGAGAUGGAAUAGGAGGCUUACUCCAUCCACUAAACGUAUCAACCUGGCAUUGCAGUAUCUCUAUGCAUGGUGAACUACAG
ensembl:snRNA U2 U2 spliceosomal RNA